AUUCUGCCCAAGCGGGGAAGGAUGAGAAGCUUCGACCAAGGUUCGACUUGAGCGCCAGCGAGAGAGCGUUGCCGCAGGCAACGACCCGA
rnacentral:sRNA from 2 species